rnacentral:rRNA from 1 species
CCUACGGGCGGCAGCAGUGAGGAAUAUUGGUCAAUGGGCGUAAGCCUGAACCAGCCAAGUCGCGUGAGGGAUGAAGGUUCUAUGGAUCGUAAACCUCUUUUAUAAGGGAAUAAAGUGCGGGACGUGUCCCGUUUUGUAUGUACCUUAUGAAUAAGGAUCGGCUAACUCCGUGCCAGCAGCCGCGGUAAUACGGAGGAUGCGAGCGUUAUCCGGAUUUAUUGGGUUUAAAGGGUGCGUAGGCGGUAUUUUAAGUUAGUGGUAAAACGUCGGGGCUUCACCUUGAUUGGCCAUUAAAACUGGAGUACUAGAGUACAGACGAGGUAGGCGGAAUAAGUUAAGUAGCGGUGAAAUGCUUAGAUAUAACUUAGAACCCCGAUAGCGAAGGCAGCUUACCAGACUGUUACUGACGCUGAAGCACGAGAGCGUGGGUAGCGAACAGGAUUAGAUACCCUUGUAGUC